UAUUACAGAUAUUAUUUUUCAAAUUCAAACCCAAUUAUAUAAUCUCUAAAUCCAUUCUAUUAGAAUUCUAUUAGAUCAAAUACUCAAAAAAAUUCAACACAUUUGCCAUCCCUAAUAGAAGUGAAAGCUGGGGAUAACACACGCUACACAAAGUCCCAGUCUGUGUCCUUGCAUUUUUAAAAGCUAAAACAACAGAUUGGCGCCUAA
rnacentral:misc_RNA from 1 species